ACUUCGCCAGCAGAACUACACAAUGACCACAUUCCAAAACAGAAUUAUAGGUGCUUAACAACAACAAACUGAACUUCGAGUCAUAAAAGCAAGCAGUGAAGGUCACUACUGCAGAAAAAAUGCAGAAGAAAGGCAGUUUCCAUUUGAAUGCUAAUUGGUGCCCCCAAAAGGCUGAAGAUAUCUUUAUUCCCUUAGGAUCUCCAUUGCCAUCCUCCAGAGCGCACAAAGUAAGCAUGAUCCAUAAAAGGUCCUCAUCUUGAUCAUUACUUGGCCUACUUUUCUUAUUUAUCAAUUGAUUUGGACAUUUUCCCAAAGACAUACAAAUGGCCCACAAGCAUAUGAAAAUAUGCUCAACAUUACUAUCAUCAGGACAAUCCACCUUCAAACCAUGAUGAGGUAUCACCUCACUGCUGUUAGAAUGGUUAUUAUUAAAAAAAAAAGAGAGAGAUACUGACAAAGAUGUGAAUGAAAAAGAAUCCUAGUAUAGUGUUGGUGGGAAUGUAAAUUUGUACAGCCAUUAUGGAAAACACUAUAGAAGUUCCACGAAAAAAUUAAAAAUAGAACCACCA